rnacentral:rRNA from 1 species
AAGUCGUAACAAGGUUUCCGUAGGUGAACCUGCGGAAGGAUCAUUAUUGAAUAAACUUGAACGGGCUGUUGCUGGUGUCCCUUGGGGCGCAUGUGCACGCCUGUCAUCUUUAUUUCUCCAACUGUGCACUUAUUGUCGACCUGAAGGGUUCUUCGAAUUGUUUUCGAGUUGGGGGACUGCUGUGCUUGAAAAGAGUCGGCUUUCCCUUGUAUUUUUCAGGUCGAUGUCAUUUUCACAAACCUAUGAAACCUGUUUAGAAUGUUGAAUCAGGUCCUUUUGUACCUAUAAAGUUAAAUAUACAACUUUCAGCAACGGAUCUCUUGGCUCUCGCAUCGAUGAAGAACGCAGCGAAAUGCGAUAAGUAAUGUGAAUUGCAGAAUUCAGUGAAUCAUCGAAUCUUUGAACGCAUCUUGCGCUCCUUGGUAUUCCGAGGAGCAUGCCUGUUUGAGUGUCAUCUAAGUCCUCAAACCACAUUGAUUGUUUUCGGUGUGGCUUGGAUGUGGGGGUUUUUUUUUUUGCAGGCUUUAGAAAUGAAGUCUGCUCCCCUGAAACGCAUUAGUGGUAUCUGAGCAGAAGAACUACUACAGGUGUGAUAAUAUAUCUAUGCCUUGGUAAUGCUGCAUGAACAGAUUGCGCCGCUUCCAACAAGAAUUUAUUAUUUUUGGAGACCUCAAAUCAGGUAGGACUACCCGCUGAACUUAAGCAUAUCAAUAAGCGGAGGAAAAGAAACUAACAAGGAUUCCCCUAGUAACUGCGAGUGAAGCGGGAAAAGCUCAAAUUUGAAAUCUGGCAGUUCUUGACUGUCCGAGUUGUAAUCUAGAGAAGUGUUACCUGUGCUGGACCGUGUACAAGUCUCCUGGAAUGGAGCAUCAUAGAGGGUGAGAAUCCCGUCUUUGACACGGACUACCUGUGCGUUAUGGUGCGCUCUCAAAGAGUCGAGUUGUUUGGGAAUGCAGCUCAAAAUGGGUGGUAAAUGCCAUCUAAAGCUAAAUAUUGGCGAGAGACCGAUAGCGAACAAGUACCGUGAGGGAAAGAUGAAAAGAACUUUGGAAAGAGAGUUAAACAGUACGUGAAAUUGCUGAAAGGGAAACGCUUGAAGUCAGUCGCGUUGGCUAGAAAUCAGCUUUGCUCUUGCACGGUGUACUUUCUGGUCGACGGGUCAGCAUCAAUUUUGACCAUCGGAUAAAGUCUUUGGGAAUGUGGCAUCUCAGGAUGUGUUAUAGCCCAUUGUCGUAUACGAUGGUUGGGAUUGAGGAACUCAGCACGCCGCAAGGCCAGGUUUCGACCAUGUUCGUGCUUAGGAUGCUGGCAUAAUGGCUUUAAUCGACC